AUUGAACGCUGGCGGCAGGCCUAACACAUGCAAGUCGAACGGUAACAGGAAGAAGCUUGCUUCUUUGCUGACGAGUGGCGGACGGGUGAGUCAUGUCUGGGAAACUGCCUGAUGGAGGGGGAUAACUACUGGAAACGGUAGCUAAUACCGCAUAACGUCGCAAGACCAAAGAGGGGGACCUUCGGGCCUCUUGCCAUCGGAUGUGCCCAGAUGGGAUUAGCUAGUAGGUGGGGUAACGGCUCACCUAGGCGACGAUCCCUAGCUGGUCUGAGAGGAUGACCAGCCACACUGGAACUGAGACACGGUCCAGACUCCUACGGGAGGCAGCAGUGGGGAAUAUUGCACAAUGGGCGAAAGCCUGAUGCAGCCAUGCCGCGGGUAUGAAGAAGGCCUUCGGGUUGUAAAGUACUUUCAGCGGGGAGGAAGGGAGUAAAGUUAAUACCUUUGCUCAUUGACGUUACCCGCAGAAGAAGCACCGGCUAACUCCGUG
rnacentral:rRNA from 1 species